UAGUUGUAGGUUUAGUAAUUGUGUAUUGCAGAAAUUAGACAUUUAACAUUGAGUGUCAGCUUUCAUUAACUGUGACAUAACCUUUACAUAAUGUAAUAUAACUUUUAAGUAAACAUGGUUUUUACCAAGAAACCAGAGGCAACAUUUAUGAACUGUGCACAUACAUAAAUAUUAUGGUUUUAAUGGUUCAGUGGUUCAUUGCAUGUGCUGGGCAGAAGGUAAAAAGGUCAAUUCUGCACAGGCAUGUGGAAUAGCCUGCCAGAUCACGUAGUAGAGGCAGAAGCAGGCUUGAUACAGUGUUAGACGCUAUCUAGCCUGUGCGUAAUCGGAGCAGUGAGCAUUGUUGGGCUGAAUGGCCUGUCCUCGUCGCUAUGUUGUGUUGUGUUAUGUUAAUAACUACGCAGAACAAAGUAUUUCAGUUUAAGAGAUAGGAUUUAUUUCUGCAGAAAGAGUCCAGCGCCUACACACAGCAAAGUUGAUAAAUCUGAACUGAAGAAAGUCGGAGUAGUCCCCACGUUUUAUAAGCAAAAAUGAUAAAAACAUAUAGUAAAAUACAGCAAAUAAAUUAUUGGCUAUGUUGAACACACAUGAAUACUGAAUAAGCUCACAACGACCUCUAACGUUACCCACAUUCCCUAGGUCUACAGAAACAUGCUGUAAAUUUGGAGCCAGCAUUUAGUUUUUUUCUAACAUAAGUUUUGAGAGUUAUAGGGAACAUGGCGUCUAGCACGAUUCCUCCCUGGUAAGGUGAGGAAUGUUAAGUGGGCAAGUCUAUCCAUCUGGACUCCCGAGCAAAUGAGGGAAAAGUAGAAAGACACACAUACAUACACACACAUACAUGCAUGCAUGUGUGUAUGUAUUUCCUGUUGCACAAAACAACUACUUGUUACCCUUGGAGGCUUGGUCCCUGGAGAGCCAGAAGCCCCAGUGGAAGGCCUAAGAAUUUAAUGCAGUACAUACUUUUGCCUUAAUUACAAUAUUCUCCACUCAUCACAUACAACUGCAUUUUCAGUUCUGGUCUUCAAAACUAUCACACUGACACAUCAGAUUCCAGGGGACUGCUUGUAAAUUGUCUUAGCUUUGGAUGAACAUGGUUUACAAAAGAAUCUGAUUGGCACAUCUUGCAAGUCAUUUCUUUUGAGAAACUUAUGAUUAGUUCUCCCUUGAUUGGAUUAGUUAGGAGGGCGCAUGCGCACGCAGCGACUGGCAGCAGUGGUAGCACCCACCCCUUGCACCUAGAGUUUCAGACCUUGCCUUCGGGUUUCCGCUUCAAAUACUCAUUAGCCAAAACCAGCAGAUACAAGCACUCCUUCAUUCUGUCAGCCAUUUCACUGCUGAACUCCAAUAGAAGAAGGUAAUACCAGCUGACCACCCAACCAGGCUUGAUAAUAUUAUGCACUUUAUGUUUUUACAAAAAUGUAUUUUUAUGUUUUUACUGUAUUCUAUGUUUUUAUUUUUUAUUAUAUGUUGUAUUUAAUUGCCUUGGUACUGUUUUCACUGCUGCACAACCAAUUGCCCCACUGGGGACAAAUAAAGUUCUACUUGACUUGACUUCUAGUUGGAGAAACUUGGAAGUCCCACUUCCCUGAAACUGUAUAAAAAUUCUGGUUCCUCAAGUCCUGAUCAAA